AUUGAACGCUGGCGGCAUGCUUUACACAUGCAAGUCGAACGGCAGCGCGGACUUCGGUCUGGCGGCGAGUGGCGAACGGGUGAGUAAUAUAUCGGAACGUACCCAGGGGUGGGGGAUAACGUAGCGAAAGUUACGCUAAUACCGCAUACGCUCUAUGGAGGAAAGCAGGGGAUCGCAAGACCUUGCGCGCUUGGAGCGGCCGAUAUCUGAUUAGCUAGUUGGUGGGGUAAAGGCUCACCAAGGCAACGAUCAGUAGCUGGUCUGAGAGGACGACCAGCCACACUGGGACUGAGACACGGCCCAGACUCCUACGGGAGGCAGCAGUGGGGAAUUUUGGACAAUGGGGGCAACCCUGAUCCAGCAAUGCCGCGUGAGUGAAGAAGGCCUUCGGGUUGUAAAGCUCUUUUGUCAGGGAAGAAACGGUUUUGGCUAAUAUCCAGAGCUAAUGACGGUACCUGAAGAAUAAGCACCGGCUAACUACGUGCCAGCCGCCGCAGUAACAC
rnacentral:rRNA from 1 species